GCCUACGGGAGGCAGCAGUGGGGAAUAUUGGACAAUGGGCGCAAGCCUGAUCCAGCCAUGCCGCGUGAGUGAAGAAGGCCUUCGGUUGUAAGCACUUUCGAUAGGGACGAUAAUGACGGUACCUGGAUAAGAAGCCCGGCUAACUUCGUGCCAGCAGCCGCGGUC
rnacentral:rRNA from 1 species